rnacentral:rRNA from 1 species
CGGGUGCACUGAUCCGGCCGGGCCUUUCCCUCUGUGGAACCCCAUGGCCUUCACUGGCUGUGCGGGGGAAACAGGACUUUUACUGUGAAAAAAUUAGAGUGCUCCAGGCAGGCCUAUGCUCGAAUACAUUAGCAUGGAAUAAUAGAAUAGGACGCGUGGUUCUAUUUUGUUGGUUUCUAGGACCGCCGUAAUGAUUAAUAGGGACAGUCGGGGGGCAUCAGUAUUCAAUUGUCAGAGGUGAAAUUUCUUGGAUCUAUUUGAAAGACUAACUACUGCGAAAGCAUUUGCCCAAGGAUGUUUUCAUUGAUAAGGAACGAAAGUUAGGGGAUCGAAGACGAUCAGAUACCGUCGUAGUCUUAACUAUAAACUAUGCCGACUAGGGAUCGGACGAUGUUAUUUCUUGACGCGUUCGGCACCUUUCGAGAAAUCAAAGUGCUUGGGCUCCAGGGGGAGUAUGGUCGCAAGGCUGAAACUUAAAGAAAUUGACGGAAGGGCACCACCAGGGGUGGAACCUGCGGCUUAAUUUGACUCAACACGGGGAAACUCACCAGGUCCAGACACAGUGAGGAUUGACAGAUUGAGAGCUCUUUCUUGAUUCUGUGGGUGGUGGUGCAUGGCCGUUCUUAGUUGGUGGAGUGAUUUGUCUGCUUAAUUGCGAUAACGAACGAGACCUUAACCUGCUAAAUAGCCCGUACUGCUCUGGCAGUUCGCCGGCUUCUUAGAGGGACUAUCGG